UAGACCAGUUAUGAGAAUCUGUCACGAAUCAAUGAUUAUGAUAAAUCUAAUUCUGUCUACCGGAGAGGUUUAAA
rnacentral:snoRNA from 1 species